rnacentral:hammerhead_ribozyme from 1 species
AUCCAGCUGAUGAGUUUCGAUUAAGACGAAAUGAGCAUCCUGGAU